CCUACGGGUGGCAGCAGUGGGGAAUAUUGCUCAAUGGGGGAAACCCUGAUGCAGCGAAGCCGCGUGAGUGAAGAAGUACUUCGGUAUGUAAAGCCUUAUCUGCCGGGGAGAAAAUGACGGUACCUGAGUAAGAAGCCCCGGGUAACUACGUGCCAGCAGCCGCGGUAAUCCGUAGGGGGCAAGCGUUAACCGGAUGUAAUGGGGGGAAAGGGAGCGUAGAUGGCAGUGCAAGUCUGGAGUGAAAGGCGGGGGCUCAACCCCCGGACUGCUCUGGAAACUGGACGGCUGGAGUGCAGGAGAGGUAAGUGGAAUUCCUGGUGUAGCGGUGAAAUGCGUAGAUAUUAGGAGGAACACCAGUGGCGAAGGCGGCUUACUGGACUGUAACUGACGUUGAGGCUCGAAAGCGUGGGGAGCAAACAGGAUUAGAUACCCGUGUAGUC
rnacentral:rRNA from 1 species